rnacentral:rRNA from 1 species
AGCGAACGCUGGCUGCAGGCCUAACACAUGCAAGUCGAACGGGCUCUUCCGAGCUAGUGGCGGACGGGUGAGUAACACGUGGGAACGUGCCUUUAGGUUCGGAAUAAGCCCGGGAAACUGGGUCUAAUACCGAAUGCGCCCUUCGGGGGAAGGAUUUAUUGCCUUUAGAGCGGCCCGCGUCUGUUUAGCUUGUUGGUGAGGUAAUGGCUCACCAAGGCGACUAUCAGUAGCUGGUCUGAGAGGAUGACCAGCCACAUUGGGACUGAGACACGGCCCAUACUCCUACGGGAGGCAGCAGUGGGGAAUCUUGCGCAAUGGGCGAAAGCCUGACGCAGCCAUGCCGCGUGGAUGAUGAAGGUCUUAGGAUUGUAAAAUCCUUUCACCGGUGAAGAUAAUGACUGUAGCCGGAGAAGAAGCCCCGGCUACCUUCGUGCCAGCCGCCGCCGUAACAC